rnacentral:rRNA from 1 species
AUUGAACGCUGGCGGCAGGCCUAACACAUGCAAGUCGAACGAGUGGCGGACGGGUGAGUAAUGUCUGGGAAACUGCCUGAUGGAGGGGGAUAACUACUGGAAACGGUAGCUAAUACCGCAUACCAUCGGAUGUGCCCAGAUGGGAUUAGCUAGUAGGUGGGGUAACGGCUCACCUAGGCGACGAUCCCUAGCUGGUCUGAGAGGAUGACCGGCCACACUGGAACUUAGAGACGGGCCAGACUCCUACGGGAGUCAGCAGUGGGGAAUAUGGCACAAUGGGCGCAAGCCUGAUGCAGCCAUGCCGCGGGUAUGAAGAAGGCCGUCGGGUUGUAAAGUACUUUCAGCGGGGAGGCGUUACCCGCAGAAGAAGCACCGGCUAACUCCGUGCCAGCAGCCGCGGUAAUAC